rnacentral:rRNA from 1 species
UUAAGCGACUAAGCGUACACGGUGGAUGCCCUGGCAGUCAGAGGCGAUGAAGGGCGUGCUAAUCUGCGAUAAGCGCCGGUAAGGUGAUAUGAACCGUUAUAACCGGCGAUACCCGAAUGGGGAAACCCAGUGUGACUCGUCACACUAUCAUUAACUGAAUCCAUAGGUUAAUGAGGCGAACCGGGGGAACUGAAACAUCUAAGUACCCCGAGGAAAAGAAAUCAACCGAGAUUCCCCCAGUAGCGGCGAGCGAACGGGGAGGAGCCCAGAGCCUGAAUCAGCAUGUGUGUUAGUGGAAGCGUCUGGAAAGGCGCGCGAUACAGGGUGACAGCCCCGUACACAAAAGCGCAUGUGCUGUGAGCUCGAUGAGUAGGGCGGGACACGUGGUAUCCUGUCUGAAUAUGGGGGGACCAUCCUCCAAGGCUAAAUACUCCUGACUGACCGAUAGUGAACCAGUACCGUGAGGGAAAGGCGAAAAGAACCCCGGCGAGGGGAGUGAAAAAGAACCUGAAACCGUGUACGUACAAGCAGUGGGAGCACAGGUUUACCUGUGUGACUGCGUACCUUUUGUAUAAUGGGUCAGCGACUUAUAUUCUGUAGCAAGGUUAACCGAAUAGGGGAGCCGGAGGGAAACCGAGUCUUAACCGGGCGUUAAGUUGCAGGGUAUAGACCCGAAACCCGGUGAUCUAGCCAUGGGCAGGUUGAAGGUUGGGUAACACUAACUGGAGGACCGAACCGACUAAUGUUGAAAAAUUAGCGGAUGACCUGUGGCUGGGGGUGAAAGGCCAAUCAAACCGGGAGAUAGCUGGUUCUCCCCGAAAGCUAUUUAGGUAGCGCCUCGUGAAUUCAUCUCCGGGGGUAGAGCACUGUUUCGGCUAGGGGGCCAUCCCGGCUUACCAACCCGAUGCAAACUGCGAAUACCGGAGAAUGUUAUCACGGGAGACACACGGCGGGUGCUAACGUCCGUCGUGAAGAGGGAAACAACCCAGACCGCCAGCUAAGGUCCCAAAGUCAUGGUUAAGUGGGAAACGAUGUGGGAAGGCCCAGACAGCCAGGAUGUUGGCUUAGAAGCAGCCAUCAUUUAAAGAAAGCGUAAUAGCUCACUGGUCGAGUCGGCCUGCGCGGAAGAUGUAACGGGGCUAAACCAUGCACCGAAGCUGCGGCAGCGACGCUGAUGCGUUGUUGGGUAGGGGAGCGUUCUGUAAGCCUGCGAAGGUGGCCUGUGAGGGUUGCUGGAGGUAUCAGAAGUGCGAAUGCUGACAUAAGUAACGAUAAAGCGGGUGAAAAGCCCGCUCGCCGGAAGACCAAGGGUUCCUGUCCAACGUUAAUCGGGGCAGGGUGAGUCGACCCCUAAGGCGAGGCCGAAAGGCGUAGUCGAUGGGAAACGGGUUAAUAUUCCCGUACUUGGUGUUACUGCGAAGGGGGGACGGAGAAGGCUAUGUUGGCCGGGCGACGGUUGUCCCGGUUUAAGCGUGUAGGCUGGUUUUCCAGGCAAAUCCGGAAAAUCAAGGCUGAGGCGUGAUGACGAGGCACUACGGUGCUGAAGCAACAAAUGCCCUGCUUCCAGGAAAAGCCUCUAAGCAUCAGGUAACAUCAAAUCGUACCCCAAACCGACACAGGUGGUCAGGUAGAGAAUACCAAGGCGCUUGAGAGAACUCGGGUGAAGGAACUAGGCAAAAUGGUGCCGUAACUUCGGGAGAAGGCACGCUGACACGUAGGUGAAGUGAUUUACUCAUGGAGCUGAAGUCAGUCGAAGAUACCAGCUGGCUGCAACUGUUUAUUAAAAACACAGCACUGUGCAAACACGAAAGUGGACGUAUACGGUGUGACGCCUGCCCGGUGCCGGAAGGUUAAUUGAUGGGGUCAGCGCAAGCGAAGCUCCUGAUCGAAGCCCCGGUAAACGGCGGCCGUAACUAUAACGGUCCUAAGGUAGCGAAAUUCCUUGUCGGGUAAGUUCCGACCUGCACGAAUGGCGUAAUGAUGGCCAGGCUGUCUCCACCCGAGACUCAGUGAAAUUGAACUCGCUGUGAAGAUGCAGUGUACCCGCGGCAAGACGGAAAGACCCCGUGAACCUUUACUAUAGCUUGACACUGAACAUUGAGCCUUGAUGUGUAGGAUAGGUGGGAGGCUUUGAAGUGUGGACGCCAGUCUGCAUGGAGCCGACCUUGAAAUACCACCCUUUAAUGUUUGAUGUUCUAACGUGGACCCGUUACCCGGGUUGCGGACAGUGUCUGGUGGGUAGUUUGACUGGGGCGGUCUCCUCCUAAAGAGUAACGGAGGAGCACGAAGGUUGGCUAAUCCUGGUCGGACAUCAGGAGGUUAGUGCAAUGGCAUAAGCCAGCCUGACUGCGAGCGUGACGGCGCGAGCAGGUGCGAAAGCAGGUCAUAGUGAUCCGGUGGUUCUGAAUGGAAGGGCCAUCGCUCAACGGAUAAAAGGUACUCCGGGGAUAACAGGCUGAUACCGCCCAAGAGUUCAUAUCGACGGCGGUGUUUGGCACCUCGAUGUCGGCUCAUCACAUCCUGGGGCUGAAGUAGGUCCCAAGGGUAUGGCUGUUCGCCAUUUAAAGUGGUACGCGAGCUGGGUUUAGAACGUCGUGAGACAGUUCGGUCCCUAUCUGCCGUGGGCGCUGGAGAACUGAGGGGGGCUGCUCCUAGUACGAGAGGACCGGAGUGGACGCAUCACUGGUGUUCGGGUUGUCAUGCCAAUGGCACUGCCCGGUAGCUAAAUGCGGAAGAGAUAAGUGCUGAAAGCAUCUAAGCACGAAACUUGCCCCGAGAUGAGUUCUCCCUGAGACUUAGAGUCUCCUGAAGGAACGUUGAAGACGACGACGUUGAUAGGCCGGGUGUGUAAGCGCAGCGAUGCGUUGAGCUAACCGGUACUAAUGAACCGUGAGGCUUAACCUU